rnacentral:rRNA from 1 species
UACGAGAGGCCCAAACGUUAUUCGGAAUUACUGGGCUUAAAGAGUUCGUAGGCGGCAUGACAAGUAGGGUGUGAAAGCCCUCGGCUCAACCGAGGAAGUGCAUUCGAAACUACGUGGGCUUGAGUACUGAAGAGGAUCGCGGAAUUCCCGGUGUAGAGGUGAAAUUCGUAGAUAGUCGGGAGGAACACCAGUGGCGAAGGCGGCGAUCUGGGCAGAUACUGACGCUGAUGUGCGAAAGCGUGGGGAGCAAACAGG